AGGACGAACGCUGGCGGCGUGCUUAACACAUGCAAGUCGAGCGAGGCCCUUCCUUCGGGAAGGUGCCCUAGCGGCGAACGGGUGAGUAACACGUGGGCAACCUGCCCCUAGCACUGGGAUAACUCCGGGAAACCGGGGCUAAUACCGGAUAUUACCUUCUUGGGCAUCCUCGAAGGUGUAAAGGAUUCUGGCUAGGGAUGGGCCCGCGGCCUAUCAGCUUGUUGGUGGGGUAACAGCCUACCAAGGCGACGACGGGUAGCCGGCCUGAGAGGGUGACCGGCCACACUGGGACUGAGACACGGCCCAGACUCCUACGGGAGGCAGCAGUGGGGAAUCUUGCACAAUGGGCGAAAAGCCUGAUGCAGCGACGCCGCGUGAGGGAUGACUGCCUUCGGGUUGUAAACCUCUUUCAGCAGGACGAAGCGAAAGUGACGGUACCUGCAGAAGAAGCACCGGCCAACUAACGUGCCAGCAGCCGC
rnacentral:rRNA from 1 species